UCGGGAAUUUUGGGCAAUGGGCGAAAGCCUGACCCAGCAACGCCGCGUGAAGGAUGAAGUAUUUCGGUAUGUAAACUUCGAAAGAAUAGGAAGAAUAAAUGACGGUACUAUUUAUAAGGUCCGGCUAACUACGUGCCAGCAGCCGCGGUAAUACGUAGGGACCAAGCGUUGUUCGGAUUUACUGGGCGUAAAGGGCGCGUAGGCGGCAAUUCAAGUCAUCUGUGAAAUCUCCGGGCUUAACUCGGAACGGUCAGAUGAUACUGCUUUGCUAGAGUGCAGAAGGGGCAAUCGGAAUUCUUGGUGUAGCGGUGAAAUGCGUAGAUAUCAAGAGGAACACCUGAGGUGAAGACGGGUUGCUGGGCUGACACUGACGCUGAGGCGCGAAAGCCAGGGGAGCAAACGG
rnacentral:rRNA from 1 species